CACGUAGGCACCAAGCGUUGUCCGGAUUUAUUGGGCGUAAAGAGCUCGUAGGCGGUUCGGUAAGUCGGAUGUGAAAACUUUGGGCUCAACCCAAAGCGUGCACUCGAUACUGCUGUGACUAGAGUUCGGUAGGGGAGUGGGGAAUUCCUAGUGUAGCGGUGAAAUGCGCAGAUAUUAGGAGGAACACCUAUGGCGAAGGCAGCUCGCUGGGACGUUACUGACGCUGAGACGCGAAAGCGUGGGGAGCAAACAGG
rnacentral:rRNA from 1 species